rnacentral:rRNA from 1 species
UGGGGAAUAUUGUACAAUGGGCGAAAGCCUGAUCCAGCCAUGCCGCGUGUGUGAAGAAGGUCUUCGGAUUGUAAAGCACUUUAAGUUGGGAGGAAGGGCAGUAACCUAAUACGUUGCUGUCUUGACGUUACCGACAGAAUAAGCACCGGCUAACUCUGUGCCAGCAGCCGCGGUAAUACAGAGGGUGCAAGCGUUAAUCGGAAUUACUGGGCGUAAAGCGCGCGUAGGUGGUUUGUUAAGUUGGAUGUGAAAUCCCCGGGCUCAACCUGGGAACUGCAUUCAAAACUGACAAGCUAGAGUAUGGUAGAGGGUGGUGGAAUUUCCUGUGUAGCGGUGAAAUGCGUAGAUAUAGGAAGGAACACCAGUGGCGAAGGCGACCACCUGGACUGAUACUGACACUGAGGUGCGAAAGCCAGGGGAGCGAAUGGGAUUAGAUACCCCUGUAGUCCCUGAGCGGGCUGGCAAGGCGCAU